GAUCCAUUCAUGAAGACAGAGCCCUGGUGACAUCAUUACUUUAAAGGCCACAGCUCUGGAUACUAUUACAGUGAUAAUUCAGUUUCAACGUGACUUUUGGAGGGGACAUUCACAUCCUGCCAUAUGUGCAGCCCAAAGUGUGACUCUGGCUCUAAUACCUGGGUGGGCUGAGUGACCAUGGCCAGUCACCAGAUCCUGAAACCCAGGCCAAGAUCCAUUCACCAGCUCCAGGAUGGAGGUCACCUUUCCUUGCUCCUGAUCAUUCCACCCUGUGCUGGGAGCUAUUCCUUCCUCCUAAGGCUCAGAAUAAAUAGGUCUCAGUGCCUCAAGGGGUGCUGGGAACACGGAAUUUUUUGCACAGUGAGAUGUGAGUGUGUCUGUGACCCCCCCCCCCCAGUGUGCACAGGACACCAGUAUCGGUCUUCUUCCCCCACCGAGUUAGGUCCUGUAAUAACAACCUCUCCAUCUCAAGGUCAUCUGUUUCUCUUGCCAAGACUUCAAAGUGGUGGGAGACACUCAAGGAUUAAAGACACUAAAAUAAAAAAAGAUCCACUCUCAAGAAUGCAUGAUGGGGGAUCAGAGUUACAUAGGAGAGCUGAAUCCCCAUCCUGGUGUGUCUGGAAGUAACUCUGGAGACACCUUCCCUGGCCUGGCAUCCCCUCAAAAUCCUGCUCUCUGCACAGGAGGGGGGUUGGAAUCAGCUCAGCAGGAACAACUUCCUCUCCUCUGUCAUCCCCUAGUCCAGGAUGGGGGCUCCAGGAUACUGGCUUCAAAUGACAGUGAUUGUGAGCAGCACGAUCUCUGAGUGACUCGAAGGUCUGUUUCAUGGUGUCAUAGCCUGGGCUAAUCUGGAUUGACCUCUGCUCCUCCCUCAGUGACCUCAUCCCAUUGACCCAGUGUCAGCUGUGCCUCUCCCCUGGGCAGCUGCUGACUCUCUCCUCUUCACAUCUCCUCUUAUUCCCUCUCACCUGCCCAGUGUAAUAAAAGACAGACCUUCAAAGGAUGCUUAUCCUGGAAUGUAACCCCAGGUCCACCUGACAGCCUGGCCCAGCCCUCCUGUGCUCCUUGUGAGGUGCACGAGAGGUGGAAGAGCCACGAGCCUUGCCGAUCCUGUUCUUGGACAUGUCCCCAAUGAAGCCUGAUUGGUGCUGACACCACGGGACAGUGUGAUGUUUGAAUUUGUGGGAAAUGCCUGAUGAGGACAAUGGGCCUCCUGAAUGUGCAUGUUUGGAAGCCUGGACCAGCGGAGGUGGCAUCUGCGUGGGAGGCAUACCCUUGUGUUGGUGGACAUCUUGCUUGGCUGGGGUUGUCACUGAGCAGGAAGUCAUGGACUUAGGUUAAGUAUCACAGUUGCCCUAGACCCAUAAGGAUGCUGAGAACUUUGGGUAGAGAUCAGCUGUCAUCUCUUUGAUCCAACUCACUAUUGUGGAAGUUCUUUUGUGCCCCCAGCAAAGCACUAUCCUCAUAGAUGGAGCGGCCUUCUUAUUUGAAGGCUGUUAUCAGGCAAUGUCCUGAUCAGGCGAUCGCUGUGGGUUUGUUGAGCUUUAUAUGGUCGGAAAAGGGACUUCUCUGGAAACUGAGUGCAACCCCUUCAGGCUGUCAUCAUUUUGAAACACUUACUUGUCACCGAGUCAUAUAAUUGUUGUGGGAAGGAAAUCGUCAUGGCCCUGACAAGACUACAGCCAUUUUUGGAGACAGCUGGUGAGAAAAUUCAGGCCAGAAACCAAAUUGUAUGAUAAUAAACCCCUCCCUACCCCUGGAAUGUUUCAAGUCUGCUGUCCCUGGGAAACAACAGAACAGUAACUUUUACUCUGGCUCGGUUGGCAUCCAAUGAAGGGAGUAAAUCCUAGUGCCUUCUUUAAGCUGAACAUCUUUUAUGGGAGAUGACUUUUAGACUUCUCUCUAGCUUGGUCACCCCCUACCAGACAUGUGCUAAUUUGAGAUAUUCUUUAAAAAUAUCCCGUCCCCACAACUAAAAGCAGACUUUCAAAAGGAGUGUUUGGUUGCCUCUGUGAGGAAAGGUCUUUGGUGACAUGAGUGUUUGCUCAUGGCCCCCAGGCCUUCUUUCUCUUCCAAACCUCAAGCCUCUGGAACCCCCCGUAUCUUCUCAGUAUUCCCUAUGGGGUGAAAUAAAGCAGAGACUAAUACCUAAGCAGGUCAUAUAGAAAGGUAGGGUCCAGAGACUUUCUAAUGUUGCCAAAUGCUUUGUGCUCAUUGAUCCCUGGCCUUGUACAAAAGAAUGGAAUAGAUUCCCCUGGAGGAAAAGCCUCAUUGCUUAGGGUUUAGAGGAAGGACUUCAUACAAUUAGAAAGGGGGCCUGGCUAGAGAAGAAUUCCUCCAAAUCCACUAUUCAAUGAAAUUACUUUCUGUUUUUAUUUUUGUUUUGAGACAGAGUACUCUGUCGCCACAGUAGAGUGGUAUCAUCAUAGCUCAUUGCAACUUCAAAUUCCUGGGCUCGAGCAAUCCUGACACCUCAACCUGCCAUGUAUAGCUGGGACCACAGGUGUGCAUCACCCUGCUCAGUUAAUAUUUUCUAUUUUUAGUAGAGAUGGGAUCUCACUCUUAUUCAGAUUGGUCUCAAAUUCCUGACCUCAAGCGACCCUCCUUCCUCAGGCGUCUCAGAGUGCCAGGAUUACAGGCAUGAGCCCCCGCAUCUUGGCGUAUUUUCUCUUUCUUCUGCGUGUGUGGGUUAUAGAUAGUGUUACUAUUUCUUAUUCCCAUACAAGGGGGUAUAAGAGCAUUUUGUGACUUCAUUUCACGGAAAGGCUGUUUACUUUUGCACCUUCACCACAGGCAGGCAUGAAUGGUUGGGAAACUCUGGGACACUUUUCUUGGUGGAGAAUUGGUUACCCAAAGCCUGCAGUAUAGGGAGAGGAUAGCUAGAUGCCCAGUGGGGAAGCUAAUAGUUAUUAAAAUGACCCUUGGACAAGUGGUUCAUACAUUAGUUUUAUUUUUUCAAGACUGUGCAUUGGCAAAUUUAGGGUUAGGGAAAACAACUCAAAGCUUUGAUCUUGUGAGAGUCUAUUUAGCUGCAGUGCACUAACUGUUGAGUAUAAACCAAACUAAAUCAAAUGACUCAACUCAACCCAACCAGUUAACUAAUCAACCACCCAGAUGAAAACCAUGAGGAGAAGGAAUGAGCAGUGGGGGAGGAGAGAAGUAGCUUUUGUGAUUCUUUUACAUGAGUAAAAAGUUCUUUUUUUUUUUUUUUUUUGUCACCCUCAGUAGAGUACCGUCACCUCACAGCUCACAGCAGCCCACCAUUGAAACACAGACUCCAGAGAAUAAUCUUUAAUGUGUUGGCACCUUCAUUAUGUGUUUUGGGGGAAAUGAAUUAGAUUUAUGCCCUUUUUUAAAUGUUAGCAGUAUUGUCAGGUGGCAUUAAUGUGGCACCCCAUGCAUACGGUGCUUUUGGCUGACAAACUGAGAGCAAGGUGCAGCCAGCGGGACCCCUGUGAGUGAUGGGCUGAUUCGGUAAGGCCUGGGUGUGAGCAGCAGGUGGGGCAGGUCAAAGGUGGCACACAGGCGACCUUAGUCCCAGACACUCUUACGCAGCUGGACGCUCCCCUGCCUGGAAGCCUGGGGUGCUCAAUAAAUAAAACCAGGGUAGAGUCAGAGCACCAGUUAAAGUCUCCAAAUGGGGUGACCUCAGGGGAAAUGAUGGCAGAUCCAGAGCAAAGUUUCAUCUGAGGCCAGCACGCAGGUUCAGGCUCCUCUUUUGUUUGCUGAUUUGUGCCUCGCCAGGCAUUUCCUGCCACCCCAGACAUUCUUCUGGUGCUUUCUCUGCUACCUUUAGUUGAUGAAUGUGUAGGGAAAAUGAAAUCUCUUCUCGUUUGCAGAUUGCAGGCCGUAUCUUGGAGUAAGUUUCCGUGUGUUUGGUGGUCUUUGCCCUCCGAGAGCAGUGCAGGCCUGUUGGUGUCCCUCCGGCACCCCCUGCUCGCUGCUGCUGGGAGAGGCCAGGCUCUCCCAGGAGAGGCCAAGUGCUUCGUCUUCGUUUGGGCUGCACGGACAGGCUGAUGGUUUCUGCUGAAACCAGCACCGCCGCUCUACUUGCGUCUCUACAGGGCUUUAAGUCGCCAAGAGCAGUUACUUCUCGCCUCCAUAAGCAGGAGGGCUUCUCUCCUUCACACCUGGGACUCUGGUCGGGGUACCGGGACCGCGCGUCUGGACAGCUCCCCGGGCUCUGCACCAGCCCCGGUUGUGAGAUGGCUACUUUCUGGUUUUGGCAUACCGCAUAUGGGCAGGAACCAGUCUGGGCCGUGGGAAUAAAUGGCCGGGGGAGAUGUGGCUGGGUCCCCCUUUCCUCUCAGCUCUCACACUAGGAGCCCCGCUGGACAUCUUACCAGCGACACACAGGGGCCCACGAGAAUCCUUAGUCCAGUCCACCCGGGAGCUGCGGGAGACAUUAUUUCAGAAGUUUACAUUUCACCCCUGUAGCAAAAGCGUGGACUCUGAAAUCUACUGACAUGGCGAAGAACAGUCCUUAAUCCAGAUGAGCUGCAGUCAUGUAGCAUUUUUUCCCAAAUCUAAACCUCUGACCCAGACCCCAACCACACAAGUUGAGCGCUGGGGCUCCGUGGGGGGAGGAGGCGCGCCGAGAAAACUGCAGGUCACUGAGCCCAGGUCUGAAGCUAAACGUGCUGGGACCCAAACUCUGGGUUCUUCUUUGUUCUAUUGCAAUGCACAGAAGGGAACACUUGCCUCAGGAUAGAAAUGUAAAGCUGAGAAAAGCCCUAGGCGCCCGUGUCACUCGGAGGCUGGUCCUGCAGUCAGUGGCCCGUCUCUCCCACAGCCACCUGCUGUCCGGCCCAACUUGCGGCCUAUUUUCGGACCGACUCGCACAUCCUCCAUCGCUCUGGGCACACAGGCCUUAUUCUCGCGGCUUUUGCAGUUUUGCACUCCCUAUUUCUGCGUGGUUUCUUUCUUGAUUUACUGAACUCGCUUGCAAAGUCAAAGGCUCUUUUAUCACCCGAUGUCUUCUGCAGCACCCUCUCCCUCUCCAUUUCCUUGUCACUUGUUCUCACAACUUUCUCUCUCCCUCCCCCAUUUGCAAUUCUUGGAGAAUUUGGCAGAAGUCACUCGUGCCGCAGGGUGAGGCCAUUGGAGAGUUCAUUUUGGUGGACAAGGGUGUGAAGAUCAAAAAGAAUGGUAACAUCUACAGCCUGAACGAAGGCUACGCCAAGGACUUUGACCCUGCUGUCACUGAGUAUGUCAAGAGGAAAAAGUUCCCCCCAGAUAACUCAGCUCCCUAUGGUGCCCAGUACGUGGGCUCCAUGGUUCCGAUGUUCAACGCACUCUGGUCUAUGGUGGGAUCUUUCUGUACCCCGCUAACAAGAAGAGCCUCAGUGGAAAGCUGAGGCUGCUGUAUGAGUGUAACCCCAUGGCCUACAUCAUGGGGAAGGCGGGGGGCGUGGCUACCACUGGGAAGGAGGCGGUCCUAGACAUCCUUCCCACUGACAUCCACCAGAGGGCGCCAUUCAUCUUGGGGUCCCCGGAGAAGUGCAGGAGUUCCUGGAGGUUUACAAGCAGCACUCUGCCAAGUGAGGGGCUGACCUCGCCCACUCCGGAAGGAGUGUCUUCCACGUGGACCUUUGUCUCUCAUUGUGCUCCCCUGUUCUGGCGGUGCGUCCGAAGUCCCUGGACAGCAGAAAUAAAAAACGUGGCGGUGCCUGGUGCUACAUAGCAAAAUGCUGUCUCCAUGAUGUCACUGGUGGGCAAGAUGUAUGUUGAGCCGAUGGAGGAG